CCCUUAGAUGUUCUGGGCCGCACGCGUGCUACACUGACGCAUUCAACGAGUCUAAAACCUGGUCUGAUAGGGCUGGGUAAUCUUUUGAAAGUGCAUCGUGAUUGGGAUAGAUGAUUGCAAUUCUUCAUCUUCAACGAGGAAUGCCUAGUAAACGCAAGUCAUCAGCUUGCAUUGAUUACGUCCCUGCCCUUUGUACACACCGCCCGUCGCUCCUACCGAUUGAAUGAUCCGAUGAAUACCAUGGAUUGAGAGUACGAAUAGGUUCGCUUAUUUCUGCUGCUCGAGAAGUGGAGUAAAUCUUAUCAUUUAGAGGAAGGAGUAGUCGUAACA
rnacentral:rRNA from 1 species